CCACUCAGUAACUGUCACCUCAAAGGUGACAGUCAGCUGCCUCCUGGGAUAACUUAGCAAAGCUCUCCAAAGACCAUGGAACCGGCUUCCCUUUGUUUUCCCCAAAGGGUGUCUCAUUCAAGCCACAUCGUUUGCAAUAUUUAUGAUCCUGCUCCCUGGUCAUCGUUAAGAGCAAGUGGGGCUGGUGGAGCUGAGCCUGCUGGGAUAGAAAAAGGAGCCAUUCUUCAAAGAUCUGUAGAAGGGGAAGCAACAAGGCUGCAGGAGGCAGGCGUAAAUCAACACUUGCUGUAUACAGAGUUGGGCUCGAAUCGUCUCCCAGAAAGAACUGCCACUCUUCUCCUUGGAGCUCCUCCUUGACCAACCUAAGAAGAAUGCCUAAGGGAAAUGGGCUGACUGAAAUCUCAAGCCAAAUAUGGACAAGAGUGCAGUUUAUGACCGGUGAAAGCCUGGGCUCUUUCCCUUCUGCUGGAGUUCCUUGUGCAGCUGCUGUUGGACUUCACGGGCUGUACUACGUAAGCCAACCUAAUGAACCACCUUUAUAAUAUAUACCUGUUCUACUGGUUCAAUCCAAGAGCACAAAUAGACAUCAUCAAAUGUUGACAUUUGUUCCCUAAUAUAUGACUACCAUAGCCAUGUCCCUUGCUCACUUGAAAAGGGGUAGCUGCUGGUGUUGGGUGCAGUUUUACCUAUGUUCAGUGUAGAUGGCUUGUACAGCUGAGGUCUCUAUAACAAGACUGAGCUAAAGCUAGCCAGCUAGUGUUUAUAGAGCUAUUUGGAUUUGUUCCUUACAUGCUAGUGGCUAGGCCACUGAGACCCCAGCCAUGGGAUGCUCUGUAUCUUUCUUAUCCUGGGUUUUGUUUUGGUGUAUGGGUCAGAUCUGCAUAU
rnacentral:lncRNA from 1 species